rnacentral:rRNA from 1 species
UUCUGACCUCGGAUCAGGUGGGACUACCCGCCGAACUUAAGCAUAUCAAUAAGCGGAGGAAAAGAAACUAACAAGGAUUCCCCUAGUAACGGCGAGUGAAGCGGGAUGAGCUCAAAUUUAAAAUCUGGCAGUCUUCGGCUGUCCGAGUUGUAAUCUAGAGAAGUGUUUUCUGUACUGGACUGUGUUCAAGUUUCCUGGAUAUGGAACAUCAUAGAGGGUGAGAAUCCCGUCCUUGACACAGACUCCUCAGUGCUAUGUGAUGCACUCUCAACGAGUCGAGUUGUUUGGGAUUGCAGCUCAAAAUGGGAGGUAAAUUCCUUCUAAAGCUAAAUAUUGGCGAGAGACCGAUAGCGAACAAGUACCGUGAGGGAAAGAUGAAAAGCACUUUGGAAAGAGAGUUAAACAGUACGUGAAAUUGUUAAAAGGGAAACAAUUGAAGUCAGUCGCAUCUACUUGG